rnacentral:rRNA from 1 species
AUUGAACGCUGGCGGCAUGCCUUACACAUGCAAGUCGAACGGUAACAGGUUAAGCUGACGAGUGGCGAACGGGUGAGUAAUACAUCGGAACGUGCCCAGUAGUGGGGGAUAGCCCGGCGAAAGCCGGAUUAAUACCGCAUACGACCUAAGGGUGAAAGGGGGGGAUCGCAAGACCUCUCGCUAUUGGAGCGGCCGAUGUCAGAUUAGCUAGUUGGUGGGGUAAAAGCUCACCAAGGCGACGAUCUGUAGCUGGUCUGAGAGGACGACCAGCCACACUGGGACUGAGACACGGCCCAGACUCCUACGGGAGGCAGCAGUGGGGAAUUUUGGACAAUGGGCGCAAGCCUGAUCCAGCCAUGCCGCGUGCGGGAAGAAGGCCUUCGGGUUGUAAACCGCUUUUGUCAGGGAAGAAAUCCUUUGGGUUAAUACCUCGGGGGGAUGACGGUACCUGAAGAAUAAGCACCGGCUAACUACG